ensembl:misc_RNA 7SK 7SK RNA
GGAUGUGAGGGUGACCUUUGCUGUGACAUCUGUCACCCCAUUGAUCACCAAGGUUGAUUUGGCUGAUCUGGAUGGCCAGGCGGGUGUCCCUUACCUCCCUUACUGCUCUGUGUGUAUCCUUCCUGAAGCUGCAUGCUUGGUCGAAGAGGAUGAUCACCCCCGACAUAGAGGAGGACCUGUCUUUGGUGAAGAGUAUAUGAGUAGCUGCGCUCCCCUGCUAGAAUCUCCAAACAAGCUCUCAAAAUGCAUGCAAAACCUCUACGCCAAGGACUAUAACACAUUGCUGAAACUAAUG